GUGUGCUGUUAGUGUAAGGAUGGUGUGUGUGUGUAAGGGUGCUGUGUGUGGAUGUGUGUUUGUGAGGGUGCUGUUAGUGUGCUGUGUGUGUAAGGGUGAUGUAUGUGUGUAGGUGCUGUGUGUGUGCUGUUUGUGUGUGUGCGCUGUUUGUGUGAGGGUACUGUAUGUGUGUGCUGUUUGUGUGAAGGUACUGUAUGUGUGUGUGUGUGCUGUAUGUUUGGAGGGAUUGUGGGGGUGGAGGUGGGGGCAGAUUAGUAAAUAUCCCCCCCUCCCUUCUUACCUUGCUGCCAUGUGCCAUCCCUGGUGGUCCAGUGGAGAGUGAACGCAAGCCUCCGGGGC